rnacentral:lncRNA from 1 species
UGGCUCUUUUUCACUUCAAAUUAGGCUUUUGAGAUACAUUAAUGUUGUUGAAUGUACUAGUAGUUCACACACAAGUUCAUGAAGCAUUCCAUAUUUUAUAAAUUUUUGAAUUAAAAUUGUUAAAAAAAUAAACUGAAUGUGUUCUCUGCCAUCUUCACCCAAAAUAUCUGUCCAGUGACCAUUUACUCAUCUUUCAAGACUCAGAAGUCAGCUGUGGUACCAAGCCUUUUCUGACCUUCCCAGGUAAAAUCAGUAUUUCUCAUACUCACUUUUUUGUUUGUUUAUUUAUUUUUUUGGAGACAGGGUUUUACUGUGUCACCCAGGCUGGAGGGCAGUAGCACAAUCAUAGCUCACUGAAGCUUUGUAUUUCUGGGCUCUAGUGAUC